rnacentral:rRNA from 2 species
AUAUCAAUAAGCGGAGGAAAAGAAACCAACAGGGAUUGCCCUAGUAACGGCGAGUGAAGCGGCAAGAGCUCAAAUUUGAAAUCUGGCCCCUCCGGGGUCCGAGUUGUAAUUUGCAGAGGAUGCUUCGGGUGCGGUCCCCAUCUAAGUGCCCUGGAACGGGCCGUCAUAGAGGGUGAGAAUCCCGUCUGGGAUGGGUGGCCGUGCCCGUGUGAAGCUCCUUCGACGAGUCGGGUUGUUUGGGAAUGCAGCUCUAAAUGGGUGGUAAAUUUCAUCUAAAGCUAAAUAUUGGCCGGAGACCGAUAGCGCACAAGUAGAGUGAUCGAAAGAUGAAAAGCACUUUGAAAAGAGAGUUAAACAGCACGUGAAAUUGUUGAAAGGGAAGCGCUUGCGACCAGACUCGCCCGCGGGGGUUCAGCCGGUACUCGUACCGGUGUAUUCCCCCGUGGGCGGGCCAGCGUCGGUUUGGGCGGCCGGUCAAAGGCCCCCGGAAUGUGUCGCCUCUCGGGGCGUCUUAUAGCCGGGGGUGCAAUGCGGCCAGCCUGGACCGAGGAACGCGCUUCGGCACGGACGCUGGCGUAAUGGUCGUAAGCGGCCCGUCUUGAAACACGGACCAAGGAGUCUAACAUCUACGCGAGUGUUCGGGUGUCAAACCCGUCCGCGCAGUGAAAGCGAACGGAGGUGGGAACCUUUCGGGGUGCACCAUCGACCGAUCCUGAUGUCUUCGGAUGGAUUUGAGUAAGAGCGUAGCUGUUGGGACCCGAAAGAUGGUGAACUAUGCCUGAAUAGGGCGAAGCCAGAGGAAACUCUGGUGGAGGCUCGCAGCGGUUCUGACGUGCAAAUCGAUCGUCAAAUUUGGGUAUAGGGGCGAAAGACUAAUCGAACCAUCUGGUAGCUGGUUCCUGCCGAAGUUUCCCUCAGGAUAGCAGUAACGUUUUCAGUUUUAUGAGGUAAAGCGAAUGAUUAGAGGCCUUGGGGUUGAAACAACCUUAACCUAUUCUCAAACUUUAAAUAUGUAAGAAGCCCUUGUUGCUUAGUUGAACGUGGGCAUUGGAAUGGAUCGUUACUAGUGGGCCAUUUUUGGUAAGCAGAACUGGCGAUGCGGGAUGAACCGAACGCGAGGUUAAGGUGCCGGAAUGCACGCUCAUCAGACACCACAAAAGGUGUUAGUUCAUCUAGACAGCCCGACGGUGGCCAUGGAAGUCGGAAUCCGCUAAGGAGUGUGUAACAACUCACGGGCCGAAUGAACUAGCCCUGAAAAUGGAUGGCGCUCAAGCGUGCUACCCAUACCUCGCCGUCGGGGUAGAAACGAUGCCCCGACGAGUAGGCAGGCGUGGAGGUCCGUGACGAAGC